ACGAGCAGGAAAGCUCCCAUGGAGCCAAAACCCUAAACUACAUCAAAAUCUCCAAAUUGAAAGGCUAAACGAAGCCCAAAUUCACAACCGAGCAUGAAUUAACGAUCACCUUCACAAGGGGAUCACAAGGAAUCAUGUCAAGAUGGAUGGGAGCGUCGAAGACUAACGGGCUACGAAGACUCAAUCAAAUAAGCGAACGCAAAUACGGGCGCGCAAGAAUGAAAUAGGGAAUGCAGGUAUACUCGUGAUGGAAGUUGAAGGUUGUACAGAACUGUGGAUUCUCAUCAUGGAGUGUAAAAGGUUGAAGAUCGAGUCAAGAGAUGGAUUGUACAUGUGGGCGCAUGGUCACGUAAUUUAAUAGUAGUAUGUCCGAUUUUUAUAAAUUUAUAGAAAGCAUUAAUGUAUUAAAGGUAAAAGAGUGAAUUAAUGUAUUUCUAAGUAUGUUAGAAUGAAUAUGAUGAAAGAA